rnacentral:rRNA from 2 species
UUAAGCGACUAAGCGUACACGGUGGAUGCCCUGGCAGUCAGAGGCGAUGAAGGACGUGCUAAUCUGCGAUAAGCGUCGGUAAGGUGAUAUGAACCGUUAUAACCGGCGAUUUCCGAAUGGGGAAACCCAGUGUGUUUCGACACACUAUCAUUAACUGAAUCCAUAGGUUAAUGAGGCGAACCGGGGGAACUGAAACAUCUAAGUACCCCGAGGAAAAGAAAUCAACCGAGAUUCCCCCAGUAGCGGCGAGCGAACGGGGAGCAGCCCAGAGCCUGAAUCAGUGUGUGUGUUAGUGGAAGCGUCUGGAAAGGCGCGCGAUACAGGGUGACAGCCCCGUACACAAAAAUGCACAUGCUGUGAGCUCGAUGAGUAGGGCGGGACACGUGGUAUCCUGUCUGAAUAUGGGGGGACCAUCCUCCAAGGCUAAAUACUCCUGACUGACCGAUAGUGAACCAGUACCGUGAGGGAAAGGCGAAAAGAACCCCGGCGAGGGGAGUGAAAAAGAACCUGAAACCGUGUACGUACAAGCAGUGGGAGCACGCUUAGGCGUGUGACUGCGUACCUUUUGUAUAAUGGGUCAGCGACUUAUAUUCUGUAGCAAGGUUAACCGAAUAGGGGAGCCGAAGGGAAACCGAGUCUUAACUGGGCGUUAAGUUGCAGGGUAUAGACCCGAAACCCGGUGAUCUAGCCAUGGGCAGGUUGAAGGUUGGGUAACACUAACUGGAGGACCGAACCGACUAAUGUUGAAAAAUUAGCGGAUGACUUGUGGCUGGGGGUGAAAGGCCAAUCAAACCGGGAGAUAGCUGGUUCUCCCCGAAAGCUAUUUAGGUAGCGCCUCGUGAAUUCAUCUCCGGGGGUAGAGCACUGUUUCGGCAAGGGGGUCAUCCCGACUUACCAACCCGAUGCAAACUGCGAAUACCGGAGAAUGUUAUCACGGGAGACACACGGCGGGUGCUAACGUCCGUCGUGAAGAGGGAAACAACCCAGACCGCCAGCUAAGGUCCCAAAGUCAUGGUUAAGUGGGAAACGAUGUGGGAAGGCCCAGACAGCCAGGAUGUUGGCUUAGAAGCAGCCAUCAUUUAAAGAAAGCGUAAUAGCUCACUGGUCGAGUCGGCCUGCGCGGAAGAUGUAACGGGGCUAAACCAUGCACCGAAGCUGCGGCAGCGACGCUGAUGCGUUGUUGGGUAGGGGAGCGUUCUGUAAGCCUGCGAAGGUGUGCUGUGAGGCAUGCUGGAGGUAUCAGAAGUGCGAAUGCUGACAUAAGUAACGAUAAAGCGGGUGAAAAGCCCGCUCGCCGGAAGACCAAGGGUUCCUGUCCAACGUUAAUCGGGGCAGGGUGAGUCGACCCCUAAGGCGAGGCCGAAAGGCGUAGUCGAUGGGAAACAGGUUAAUAUUCCUGUACUUGGUGUUACUGCGAAGGGGGGACGGAGAAGGCUAUGUUGGCCGGGCGACGGUUGUCCCGGUUUAAGCGUGUAGGCUGGUUUUCCAGGCAAAUCCGGAAAAUCAAGGCUGAGGCGUGAUGACGAGGCACUACGGUGCUGAAGCAACAAAUGCCCUGCUUCCAGGAAAAGCCUCUAAGCAUCAGGUAACAUCAAAUCGUACCCCAAACCGACACAGGUGGUCAGGUAGAGAAUACCAAGGCGCUUGAGAGAACUCGGGUGAAGGAACUAGGCAAAAUGGUGCCGUAACUUCGGGAGAAGGCACGCUGAUAUGUAGGUGAAGUCCCUCGCGGAUGGAGCUGAAAUCAGUCGAAGAUACCAGCUGGCUGCAACUGUUUAUUAAAAACACAGCACUGUGCAAACACGAAAGUGGACGUAUACGGUGUGACGCCUGCCCGGUGCCGGAAGGUUAAUUGAUGGGGUCAGCGCAAGCGAAGCUCUUGAUCGAAGCCCCGGUAAACGGCGGCCGUAACUAUAACGGUCCUAAGGUAGCGAAAUUCCUUGUCGGGUAAGUUCCGACCUGCACGAAUGGCGUAAUGAUGGCCAGGCUGUCUCCACCCGAGACUCAGUGAAAUUGAACUCGCUGUGAAGAUGCAGUGUACCCGCGGCAAGACGGAAAGACCCCGUGAACCUUUACUAUAGCUUGACACUGAACAUUGAGCCUUGAUGUGUAGGAUAGGUGGGAGGCUUAGAAGUGUGGACGCCAGUCUGCAUGGAGCCGACCUUGAAAUACCACCCUUUAAUGUUUGAUGUUCUAACGUUGACCCGUAAUCCGGGUUGCGGACAGUGUCUGGUGGGUAGUUUGACUGGGGCGGUCUCCUCCUAAAGAGUAACGGAGGAGCACGAAGGUUGGCUAAUCCUGGUCGGACAUCAGGAGGUUAGUGCAAUGGCAUAAGCCAGCUUGACUGCGAGCGUGACGGCGCGAGCAGGUGCGAAAGCAGGUCAUAGUGAUCCGGUGGUUCUGAAUGGAAGGGCCAUCGCUCAACGGAUAAAAGGUACUCCGGGGAUAACAGGCUGAUACCGCCCAAGAGUUCAUAUCGACGGCGGUGUUUGGCACCUCGAUGUCGGCUCAUCACAUCCUGGGGCUGAAGUAGGUCCCAAGGGUAUGGCUGUUCGCCAUUUAAAGUGGUACGCGAGCUGGGUUUAGAACGUCGUGAGACAGUUCGGUCCCUAUCUGCCGUGGGCGCUGGAGAACUGAGGGGGGCUGCUCCUAGUACGAGAGGACCGGAGUGGACGCAUCACUGGUGUUCGGGUUGUCAUGCCAAUGGCACUGCCCGGUAGCUAAAUGCGGAAGAGAUAAGUGCUGAAAGCAUCUAAGCACGAAACUUGCCCCGAGAUGAGUUCUCCCUGACUCCUUGAGAGUCCUGAAGGAACGUUGAAGACGACGACGUUGAUAGGCCGGGUGUGUAAGCGCAGCGAUGCGUUGAGCUAACCGGUACUAAUGAACCGUGAGGCUUAACCUU